UCCAGGUACAGUUUAUCAUACAUCCCAUAUGCAAGGGAUGCAGUCAUUAAGUGCUGUUCUUCUCUCAUAAGUUGAAAACCAGAAGCUUUUGGAAAAGAAUGUUUGAAAGCUGAUACUGUGUCUUUGGUGAAGUAUGCUUUUCCCAAUACAGUGAUCAUCCCACAAACCACUGCUGUGACCAUUUAAGACCAUUUGUAUACUGGCGAAAGAUGUGUGUGUAAUUUAACUGUUAGAUCCUUGUAACUUUAAAUUCAUUAUGUGCCAUUAAUACGUUCUUCCAAAGAUGAGAUUUUAAUCAUUGCCAACUGUAAAUUUUUUUUUGUCAGUGUUUUAAUCUUUUCAACAGCUUUUGAGAUGUGAAUAUUUAAGGGUAGAUCUGUGCCACAAGGUGUAGUCAGCUUUUUUGGCUCUGUUCCACUGUCUACAAGUUUUUAAACAUUUUUUUUUUUUUUUACUUAACUGUGAAAGUUUUUACUUUAACCUAAAAAUGGCUUAUUAUAUGUAAUAAAAAAUAAUAUAUA